rnacentral:misc_RNA from 1 species
AACUGAUACUACCUGCGGGAACCUGCGGAGGGAUCAUUGCUGGAACGCGCCCCAGGCGCACCCAGAAACCCUUUGUGAACUUAUACCUUACUGUUGCCUCGGCGCAUGCCGGCCCCCAGGGGCCCCUCGGAGACGAGGAGCAGGCACGCCGGCGGCCAACCUAACUCUUGUUUUUACACUGAAACUCUGAGAAAAAAAACAAAAUGAAUCAAAACUUUUAACAAUGGAUCUCUAGAUCGG